UACCAAGUGAUAUAUACCAGUUAUGAAAGCAUCACCUCACAUACUUAAUUAACACUUUACACUAUUGUAUCUAUGUUUCGCAAUUACGAUACUACAACAUUAUACAGAAGAUGUGAAUCAGAUGAAGGGAUUCCUUGGUCGCCGAAUGGCAACCACAACGAGUCUUCGCUGGUGACACAAGUCUUCACCGAGUCUCGAUCAUGGUAAUUCCUCCAUUGUCUCGGCGAAAACAAAACGUGCAACGCCUCCAGGACACGACGAUCGAGCCUUUCAACUCGCUGCUGCUCGAAUACUUUAAUGUCCGAGCAUGUUCGCAAGCUAGGACCUAACGAUCUGCAGACCACACCAAGGUCAACUCGGUCCUCCCUCCGCCCUUCCAGCAGGCUGGAAAGAGAGAAAAAACUCCCAACAAAACUAACCCUGAGAUUUCGCGCCAAAUGUGUUUUACGUCUGCUCCGUGCACCUGAAGCAGUUUGUGUGAAACGUAAGGUUAAUAUUUGAUAUAGUAUGUCCACUGGAGGAAUGAAGACCAGAUCCUCCGAGGUAAUUCGGUUCUAUCCGCCCUUCCACCAUGCCGAAAGCAUGCGAAAUGCCAACAUAUACGCUUAACGUCUGCUCAUACCAUCAAAUGGCUGCAGACGCGGAUGUGUUGCUGAUUUUAGACGUUUUUGUGAUAUAAGUUCAACACGUCUGGGAUCUAUUUGACAAGCGGGGAUGGCGGACACGUGGCGCUCCCGCGGGAACCGUCCUGCCGGGAAUCGGCAACACGUCGUAACGUCCAUUUAAUUCUCUUCUUAUGCUUUUCAAACUGAACUUGCGCUUUGAGCAUUGCUAUUCAUGUCUGGAAAUAUUCAGUGUCGACGCAAUGGUAUUUAGCGCCCCUGGCGAGUUUUAAAAUGUGCACCCCCUAGUAACUUUAGAUAAGCGUGUUAAUAUAAAAAUUCAGAUCACUAUUAUGCAAUGUUGUUUUUUAACGCAGAGUUUGUCGGAAUAUAGAACGUGUCGUGUGGAUAUACGCUGCACGGAUUAAUAUAUAUAUAUAUAUAUAUAUAUAUAUAUAUAUAUUUGACAUCGGGAACGGCACACAAUUAAAUGGUCGGAAUUGAUUCAUUUGUCUGAGACAUACUAAACCGCUUUAUAAACACAAUAUACAUUCUACUUGAAAUAUAUGUAUAUAUUUUUAUGAUAUAGUUGCUACAAGAACAAAAUGGUUUCUGAAAAAAUAAGUAGCAAAUAAACAGAAAUUGUUUCAUUUAUAACAGCUAUAUUUUCAGUAGUUUUUUCACCAGUGUGUUAUUGACAGCUACACUAUUUGCGAUUUUUAUUUUUCAUAUAAAUACAAAAUGAUCAUUUAUUUUUUUAAAUGGUUAUUUUGUGGCUUUAAAAGAAAAUCAAUAGAUUCUCCAGCAGCGUAAUACGGGUAAAAGUGCUGAUUGCACUAUUAGGGAAUUUCACAGUUAUCUCAUAAAUACAAAAUGUUUGAAUGUUUGGCGGAGACGCUUAAAUCUCAAUUUAUACCAACGACAUAAUGUCUUUUAUAAGAAUCUAUUCCGAAGACGAAUUACAGCAAACUUUCUAAUCGCCAUAGUUUUCAUUUUUAAGUUUGCUGACAGUAACAUAAAUAAAUAACACUAGAAAAUUAAAAUAUCAAAGACCAAUGUAGACUGAAAACAAACGAUGAUCCGAAGCAACUAUGAACAUCCAACUAACAUACUUUUCAAUCUUUGAUACAUUAGUUUAUGAUAUGGAUAAUAUAUUUGGCGGGCACUUCUAACAUGUAACUAAAAGUGGUUGUUGACAGAUAGUAUACAGGCAAUAUUAAUGCAUCGGCAUCUAGGUUACCCUU
rnacentral:lncRNA from 1 species